AACAAUAAAAGAGACUUUAAAAUAAAAGAGCGUAAUAGCAAAAACGAAUAAUAUGUGUACAACCAACACACUGUAAAACUAUUCCUACAAACUGGUGCAAUAAGUACAUGAGCAACUAGAAUACUACAUAUAAGGUCUGAAAUAAAAUACAAAACUGUCCGGCACAAAGUAAACAACAACAAAGAUAGGAAGGGGACUUCAGAGUCUGUGAACGCCUAACACUAACUCGAGUCUACUGGAAGGAAGGGUCCGAGCAAUCAUCGCUGAACACCGCUGGGACCAACACCGGGAUCUGCACGAGAAGUGUAAAAUUAUAGUAUGAGUACAACCGACCCUAUAUACUCUGUAACUGCCGAGCCUGACCUCGACGAAGUAGUGAGGCUAUGACAAGACACACACUAUAAACCGAUACGAGUAAUAAGCAGAAAAGCAAAAACGAAAUAGAGAAACAAAUAACUACUUGCUAAACGGAAUAAGAAAUAAAUAAUAGAGGGCUCCAGCAUAUCAUCCCAAUCACAGUCUUACAACACAAUACAAUAGAGGAAUCUAACAACCAAGAAUAACCACAAUACAUCAUCUUCGUUGCGACACGCAACUCGAUCCCCCCUCCCCCCUAUAUAUAUAUAUAUAUAUGGCGUGCAACCCUAUCCAUAUAUACAUAUAAUUUUGUCGCGGUGGUGUAAUCCGAUCCACACAUACAUAUAAUAUUGUUGCAAGCUUGCAACCCGAUCAACAUAUAACAUCCAACUAUGACGAAUCUCAAAAUGUAACAUAAAAAGGAACUAAAAUGCAUAAAUCCUCUAAGAUAAUCCAAUACAACAUAGUAAAGUGAAAUAGAAGCAAGUAUAAAUAAAUAAGCAAGUGAAAGCAAGAGAUAGGUAACAUGUAAGAGCAUAUAACAAGUAAGGGUGGAGGAUAAGUAAAGGCAUGAUUAAGUGGAAGCAUGUAACAAUUAAAGACAUGUAAGAAGUGAAUGCAUAUAUUUAACAAGUAAGGACAUUGUUGACGGCCAAUUUUGACCCUCCCUUUUUAAAUUAAUUUAUUCAUACUUAAUAAUUUACAAUAAAUAUUUUUAAAGUGUUCUCUAGUAAUAAAAACCUAUUUUUACAAAUUAAUUAAGUAUUAGUUUUAAAAUUAAUCACGUAGUAUUAAUAUUAUGUAAUUAUGAAUAUAUUUGCUAUUUUAAUAUUAUUAAGAUAACUUUUUUAUAUACAUUACAUAGGUUCUAUAGUUAAUUUAAUAAAUUACUCUUUAAUUUCUAGUUAAUUAGACUACUAUGUUAAAAAUUUGAAAUCAGUGCUACAAUUUAGAAAAUAAAGUAUUUUUAUAAAUAAAUAAUUAAAAUAAUUACUUGUAUAUAUAAUAAUUAUAAUUUUAUCACAUUUUAUUAAAUAUUAUUAAGUUUAUUUAAAUUAAUUUCUAAAAGGGAUUAAAGACAAAAUGCUACAAUUGCAAUUCUCAAUUAAAUGCAAAAUGACCAUCUUUUAAAUUAUUUUUGGCCUAAACGUGCAAGCCCAAUCCAAAACAUACCCAGUCCAAAUACCCCAUCUCCAUUCCAAUGUGUCUAUCGAGGCCACUCUCUUAGAGCCAAUGAGCUCGCGCCACGUCACCUCUCCAUAACACUCACACAAGAAACACAGUGAAUCCAAGCCGUUUGUUCCUUAAAUCAACGGUUCACGUUUUAUCUCCAAUUUUCUUUUGAUUUUAAACACCCAUCCCAGAGAUCUCAUCCCUACCGUCCAAAAUCUCCUAAUCUAAGGGACACGAAAAAUCCUCCCUAAAUAUCCUAAUUGACCAAAUUAUCUAGGCCAUUGAUCUAAUGAUCCAACGACCCAGGUUCUAUCUCUCAACAUUAACCCACGAGACCAAUCCCAAUCCCCCCAAACCCUAAUCAUUCACUCAAAGACCUGUUCGUCUCUCUUUCCCUUUGCUCUCUCUUUUCUCUCAUCUCCAUCAGCCAUCAAUCUCUAAAACUUUGCACAGAUUUGUGCAAGGUCACUCGAAAUCACUCAGAAUCAUCUCUUCUAUCUCUCUAUCCGUGAAUCCAACCGCUAUUUCCUAUCUCAACACUCAAAAUUCAAAACCCAAUUCUAGAACCCUAAGCUCAGAACAUCGCUGGCCUAAUUUCUCCUUCGUUCUUUCAAAUCCAACUUAUAGAUUCAUCUGCGGGUUUCAGUUUAAUCAACUUAUGUUACGAAGCCAGUUGAUUUCAGUUUCUAUUUUUGUUGAUUAAAUUCGAAACCCCUAAUCUGAAACCCUAGACUCAAAGAUGAACUUCAAAUCUCCAGAUUUCCUUUAUGUUCUGUUAAAUUAGAGCAUGCAAAAGCACAUUUCAUAGCCUCAUCAUGAUUAAUUGAAGUGCAGAGGUCAAAUUCAAUGACCUCUGGACAUUGGAGCUUUGACCGAUGGGUUUUGCCUUCAACGGUCAACCUUCUUCACUUAGGUAAGUUUGUUCAUAAUUUUCCCCCUCUGUCUCUCAAAUGUUUCACUCGAUUUUGCUAUCAUCAUCAAUUUGUUGUCACUUUCCACUCAUGAUUUUGAAUCCAUUGAAACCCUAGAGCCUUAAUGGCACUAUAAAUAAGGCCUUUAAUGUUCUCACCUAACAUCAUCUACACAUCAUCCACAAAACCACCUAACAUCAUCUACACAACCACUUAACACUGAAAAGAAUACACCAAGAACACUUAGCAAAAGCAAAAAUCAGUAUAGUAGUUGUAGAGUUUUUUCGACUAAGCUCUUACUCGAAUUCUGACUUUGCUCCGAGGUAUUCAUUUGGUUGAAGUCUCUGAGUUCUAUUUGGCAUGCUUCCCUACGAAAGGUCAGUGCACCUUCACCCUCUUCUCUUCUAAUUGUUUUACUUGAAUGCUAUGUACAUGCUGUUGUUUUUUCUAUUAACUGUAUUAGCUUAUAAUAUUUGUCAUUAGCCUAUAAAGUGUUAUCCCAGUUCAUAUUAAAGUGUUAUUGAUCUGUGGUCAUUCCUCAUGUUUUCAGAAUCUCUUAAAUUGGUAUUGACUAAACUGUUACAUGACUUUAAUGACUUGCAUCUCUGAGCCUAAACAGUCUAUAUGAUUAAGUUUCCUUUAUGAGCUUUAAUAACUUUCAUAUAGCUAAUAUGAUUAAACUCCCUUAAUGUGCUCUAAUGACUCCCGUGCUUGUUCAAACUUUAGGGUUUCUGUCAAUAGUUCUACUAUGACGUUAUUAUGAUCUUCAUCUCUAUACACUAUUUUCCUGCAUCAUGUUGUCUUAUGGUCGAGAACACUGUCUGAUAUUCCUCAUUAGGACAAAACCUGAGAGUUCAUACUUUACAUCCUUCACCAUUUAACUGAAGUUUGAGAAAUACAAGUGUUUUAAAUGCUCUCUUCCUUUAUAUAUGUGGAUGUUAAUUCUAAGAACAACUCUCUGAGUCUUCUUUAUUAUGUUCAUGUCUGAUUGAUUGGCUGUAGAUAUAUGAGAUAGUUUUACAAACCUGAACUCUUAGGAGUACCAAUAAUCCUUCUGUACAUACUCUUUAAGAUUAAGUUACCCCUUUUUCAUAACAAUAGGUCAUGGUUUUUGUUUGUUACAGUUGAAUAGUAAUUGUUGUUAAUCUGAACAUAUUUGUCUCAUAUUUAGAUAAAAAAUCUCAAUCUGUAUGUGUUAAAUAGAUAUUCCAAAUGUUCUUGUUAUGUUGGAGUUACUAUUUGAGAAGGUGAUUUAAGUAUGGGAUGUGUGUUAAUAUGUUAUGACUUGAAAACGCGAUUCUAAUGAAAGCUAUCAUAUCGAAUUGUGUAAGAAAUCACAUGUGCCUAAGACCUUUAAUUGUUCAAAUAUGUACUUAGAGUCUUGAAUAGAAAUGUUUUUUGUUGAUGAUCCGUGAUGAUGUUUGAAAGUGAAACAGUAAGUAUAGAAUAUGAAAUACGGCCAACGUGCCAAAAAUGAUAUUACACUUUCUACUAUUAAUGCCAAUGAAACAGAGAGGCGAGAACAAGAUGUUGAAAUGAGUUGUGAAUCCUUUUAAUAGUAAAUGCUUUGGGAGUAUCGUUUAGUCACCGAGGAAGGGUAGGUCAAAAUAACCUAACCUUGAAACUACACAUGCCGGUGUAGGAGUGAUUGAGGGGUAAAUCCCCGUGUUAAUGUGAUGAGGUUGUUUCCCCUUAUAUGGGAUGGGAUUGAUGUGUUGAUAUGUCUUCCCUUAAAUGGGAUGAGAUUAUUGCUAGCGAGGUGUGAUAUGAUGUCAAUCCACACGGCAUUGUGGUGAGACGGCUUAGCCAAUCGAGCUGAGAUCGGACGUCAUGCCGCGCACAUAGUGGUAUUAUGAGUGGAUGUCUCGGGGUGAUACGACUUAACUGAUCGGGCUGAGAUCGGACUCCCUUUAAAAAUACGGUGGUGUAUCGGUUCUAAAGAUAUCCCAACUUAAAAAGAUUGAAACUUACUUGAAAUUAUGUUUCCUCUAACUUGACACCUUGAUGCGGUUUGAAUCUCUUAAUGAUUUCAUGUUUCCUUCUCCAUUUAGCGUUAAUUGUUAUAAUGAGAGGGUGUUUAGUUUUACAUACUAGUACUAUUCCAUAUGUACUAAUGUCCCUUUUGCCAGGGGCGCUGCAUCUUUAAUGGAUGCAUGUGGUUCCAUAGCAGGUGAUAUUGAUCAGUGACAACAACACACCCUCUCAUUAGCUGACUUGGUGAGCCCCACUUCAUUCCGGGGUCCUGUAUCUUUUGUCCUUUGUACAUUGCAUUUUGAGGUAUAGCGGAGGCCUUGUUGCUGGUACUGUCUUAGCACUCUUUUGUUUCUGUUAGAGGCUCUGUAGACAUAGUGUGAGUUGUAUAUUAAUUUGGGAAGGUUGAACUAAAAAUAUUGUAAUCAUAUCAUCUGUUCCGCUUGAACUAUGAUUGUAUAGUGUACUAUUUUGGGAACUUGUUAAUGAUGUAACUUAUGGAAAUGAACCGGUGUUGUACACAUGGCCCCUUACCGUCUAAUUAAUGAAAUAUAUUUAUCUCUUUAUUCAUGGGUGAGUUGGGUAGACGAUAUUGUGCAGGCUUUCUCGAACGGGGCAACUCUGUUGAGCGCCGGUCGCGCUCCCCAAGGUCGGGGCGUGACACUUACCUCCACCCGACGAGAUUAAAUCAAUCAACAACAGCCUUUCCGAUCAAUCCAACACCAAACGACUCAAAUCUAGUCAAACAUGUGAGCCAAUACAAGCUUUAGGAAUUGAUUCCAUAUUAAAAGGAUUCAAUCUUUAAACCAUAUAAAAAAUUCAAUAAAAAGUCAACCUUGGGCCUUUAUAGAUAUAGUUCAUCCAAAACCUCACUAUUCCAAAUAUAUGAUUAGAUUCUAAAACCAAGUCCAAAUCGACUCCCAAAUUCUCAAUUUGCACUCUCUAAAAUUAUAAACAAAACCCUUAAAUUUCUCUUUACAAUUCCUUGAUCUAAAUAUAAUAAUCCACGAGGAAAUAGGAUAUAUAAUCAAAUCAAGUAAAAAUCACUUACCCUCAAAUUAGUGAUGAAAAUUUCCCCAAAAAUCGCCUCUCCCAAGCUCCAAAACCCAAAAUAGUAGAAAAUGAGCUAAACCCUCGAAUAUAAUGUCAUGGGCUGCUUUCCAGGCAUGCCCCAUGACCCCUUAGAUGCACCCCAUGUGGAAUGACCCAACCAGUUAUUUUUACUUUUAGAACCCUGUUUUCCUAAAUAAAAUGACAUGUAUGUGCUUUUAUAAAUUUAUGACUUGCGGGGAUGGUUGGUUCGGGAUUUGAAAGUGUUCGGGUUAAAAUCGAAACACUUGGUUCCUUAAGUUGGCCUUAAAAUACUAAGUUUGACUCGGUCAAUAUUUUGAGAAAAUGACCCCGGAAUAGAAUUUUGAUGAUUCCAACAGCUCUAUAUGGUGAUUUUGGACUUAGGAGCGUGUUCGGAAUUUUAUUCGGAAGUCCGUAGUUAAAUUAGGCUUGAAAUGGCUAAAAUAGGAAUUUAAGUUUGAAAGUUUGACCGGGGAGUUGACUUUUUGAUAUCAGGGUCGUAAUCCAGUUUCGAAAGUUUUCAUAGCUCUGUUAUGUCAUUUAUGACUUGCAUUCAAAAUUUGAGUUCAAUCGGACUUGAUUUGAUAUGUUCUUGCGUCGUUUGUAGAAAUUGAAAGUUUCAAAGUUUAUUAGGAUUGAAUCUAUAUGUGAUUCAUGUUUUUUAGUGUUGUUGGAUGUUAUUUGAAGGCUCGACUAAAUUCGUAUGAUGUAUUAGGACUUGUUGGUAUAACUGGUUGAGGUUCCGAGGGUCUCGAGCGUGUUCCGGAUGGUUAAUGGAUCAUUUUUGGCCUUUGUGAGAUAGCUGAUAUCUGCUGCUGCAAUUUUUCUGAUUUCCUCUUUCGCGUUCGCGGGAGGAGCCUCGCGUUCACGAAAAGUUUUUUGAGCUGGUGAAUUUUUGAUCUACGCGUUUGCGGAGGAGAGGACGCGAAUGCGAAGGGUAGGGUAGUGUGUGCAUCGCGAACGCGUGGGUGGUGUCGCGUUCGCGAAGGAGUGUGAGGCAGUUGGGAACCCCAGUCUUUUGUUCUACGCGUUCGCGAGGUAAGGGACGUGUUCGCGAAGGUCUAAGUUUCCAAAGCUUCACGUUCGCGAAGCGUAGGUCGCGUUUGCGAAGAGGAUGGGCAGCACAUUUUUGUGCUUCGCGAACGUGAGGCAAGGGUCACGUUCGCGAAGAAGAAACCACUGGACAGAAUGUUUAAGUUCAGAAAAUGGGACUUCAUCCCAUUUUCCAUUUUUAACGAUUUGGAGCUCGGAUUGAGGCGAAUUUUGGGAGAUUUUCAGAGAAAACAUCGGGGUAAGUGUUCGUAACUCAAUCUUGGUUAGAUUACCCGAAUCCAUCCCUGUUUUUAUUAUUUAAUUGGUGAUUUAAGUUUUAAAAAAAUUGAAAAAACCCUCUUGGAUAGAUUUGAGGAUUUGAGGGUCUAAUUUUUAUUGGAAUUUAGUCAUUUUGGUAUGGUUAGACUCGUGGUUGAAUGGGCGUUCAUAUUUCGUAACUUUCGCCGGAUUUCGAGAGCCAUUUUUGAGUUAAUUUCGGAUUUUUAUUAAAAAAUAUAGUAUUUUCUUAUAGAAUUAAUUCUAUAACUUUUGUUGACUGUAUCAAAUUAAUUAUGACUAGAUACGAGUCGACCGNNNNNNNNNNNNNNNNNNNNNNNNNNNNNNNNNNNNNNNNNNNNNNNNNNNNNNNNNNNNNNNNNNNNNNNNNNNNNNNNNNNNNNNNNNNNNNNNNNNNNNNNNNNNNNNNNNNNNNNNNNNNNNNNNNNNNNNNNNNNNNNNNNNNNNNNNNNNNNNNNNNNNNNNNNNNNNNNNNNNNNNNNNNNNNNNNNNNNNNNNNNNNNNNNNNNNNNNNNNNNNNNNNNNNNNNNNNNNNNNNNNNNNNNNNNNNNNNNNNNNNNNNNGUUGAAACUUAGUUUCUUUUAUUCUGUGCAUUAUUUGAAAUUAAUUUUCUUUAAAUUAAAUAUUAUUAAUAUGAAGUAUUUGAUAUUUUUAAAUUUGGUAUUGAAGCAACGUAUUAAAGAUUUUGAAAUAUUAUUUUGCUAAAUUAUUUAUUUUCGAAUAUUUUUGUAAGAUUUUUAUACUCAUUGUGAUGGAGACGUGAGCUCUUUAUUGUGGAAAACUAUUAUUGAUGAUUUAUGUUGGCAUGAUCCGUGAGCUCUUUAUUGUGAAAAAAUAUUGUUGUUGAUUUACUUUGGCAAAUUGAAAUAUUUGGGCACUUGAGGUGCAAAUUGUGAUAUGUUGUGAUAUUGAUACGCAUGCGGUGGUAUAAGGUCUGGAUAUUGAAACGCAUGCAGUGAGAUAAGGGUGGCUUGAUAUGCGUGGCUAGUAGGGGAAACUACUAGAAGUCAUACAGUGUGAUAAGGAUGGCUAAAACGCGGGAUGCUAUUUCGGGAAAAAUAUUUUCUUUAAAAUAAAUUGUGAAGGCUCCCGCGGUGAGAUAAGGAAAUGAGAUAUUGUGAAUUUAUUUAUGAUUUGGGACUACGAUGUAGUACCUCAGGAGUGCCCUUGUUGAUAUUGAUUUAUGGUCGUAGUUGUCGUUGAUUAUUUGUUGUGAUUUUCUUAAGUUGAAAGAAAAUUUUGGUGGUUUCUACGAGAUAUUAUUUGUCAUUAUUUUGUAUAAUUAAAUGAUGACUUGCUACUUGAUUCAUUUCUAUUAUCAUUUAUUUUAUUAUAUUGUUAAAUAUUUUUUCAUGUUAUUAUUAUUUUCCAGUAAGGCUUGACCUGACCUCGUCAAUAUUCUACCGAGGUUAGGCUUGGCACUUACUGGGUACCGCUGUGGUAUACUCAUACUACGCUUCUGCACAUCUUUUUGUGCAGAUCCAGGUACAUCUUAUUAGACUAGGCAUCAGUAAACUAGCUGUACGAGGAGACUUCGAGGUAUACCUGCCAGCGUCCGCAGACUCCGGAGUCCCCUUCUAUCUUACUAUGUUGCUUCUUUAUUUGUUUUAGACUCUGACAUAUAGAGACAGAGAAUAAAUUCUUAGAAGCUUGUGACUUAUUUCUACCGGGUUUUGGGUGUUGAAUUUGUUUGAAUUAUAGUUUAUUUAUUUCAGAUAUUUAUUAUUAUUCCGCAUUGAUAGGCUUACCUAGUCUUAGAGACUAGGUACCAUCACGACAUCCUACGGAGGGAAUUUGGGGUCGUGACACCGUGGCGUCCUGGCAAGCCUCCCAAUGCCCAGCGCCAUGGGCGGCCCUGUGGUCUCAACAGAGACAAGGGACAAGCGCGCAUGUGCCUCUGUCGCCUUACUGAUAGCCCUCGCCAGCGCCCAUCGGCUGGCAGAUGUCAACAAUGUCGCGCGCACAGACAAUGCCGCACGCAAAGACCAUGAUGAUGCCAACAGUGUCGCGCGCAGAGAUCCUGAUGCCUCGCCAGUGCCCAACCGCAGGCAGAUUACAACAGCAUCGCGCGCACAAACCAUGGUGCCAAGUGUCAGUGCCCAGCCGCAGGCAGACGCAAAUAGUGUCACGUGCACCGACAACACUGCGCGCGCAGACCCUAAUGCUAAAGAUAAAGUUGCUGCCAAUAGACUUGUUUCGACCUUGUAGUUUUACUUCAUUUACUUUUAGUGUGCUUCUACAGCUUAUAUAGGUCAAGUCAUGUAACUUUGGUUUAUUUUUUUAUUCAUUAUUAGGGGGGAUCAAGCAUUCAAACAUUCAAACAUUCAAGCAAGCAAAUAUUUCUCUGUACUGGUGUCUCUCCCCCUCGACAACGCGUAGCCUUUUGUAAUAGCUUCCAUUUAAUAAUGCAAUCAACUUUCAUUCUCAAUUGCUCCCUUCAAUUCUCUUCAUUGCUCGUGACAUUAGUUUUUAAUGUACGACACUGACAAUCCCGUCUAGCAUAUGGAGGGGACCUCAAUUGGCGGACAACAACCGCACUGACAUCAGUUGCUUAGCUUUACGUCUCCCUUCCAAGGAAACUCAGGAACGUACCAUAUAACAGUUUGUAUCAUAGCUUAGGCUCGACAUCGGACGAGGGAACAUAUUACCAUUACCACCAUUUCUGACCAUGGUGAAUUAUGGGGAUUGCAUCGCGACCCUUGAAGAGACGCUUGACGUAUUACGGCCCAUCGUGGAUACGGUACCUAAUCUAAGAACCAGCCUAGUGCAAAGGUUGGACGACCUGGACAACAGAAUGCGGCAAGCCGAAGUUGACAUAGCAAACAUCAGUUGCGACUCUAAGGGAGACCGGCAAACGGCAACCGUAGAGGUAGCCGAAAUUUAAGGCAAAUUUGAGGACCUCCAACAGGAGCGCGCCGAGGAUUUAGCCCUUAGGGAACUAGAGGCAGAUAGGGUGACUUCCAUGCAACAAACCAUAGAUAAACUUGACAGGCCAGCGCAGUGUUGUCAAUGUUGCCCAACAAGGCCUGCUUAGAGGAGACGAAAAUCGAAUCAGGGGUGUUGUGAACCUCGCCCCUGUGCCAUAAAAUCUAAAAUUUCUGGAGCCAAAGCCAUACAGCGAAGCUCGGGAUGCUAAAGAAGUAGAGAACUUUGUCUUUGACAUCGAAUAGUACUUCGAUGUCAUGGGGUAGUUAGAAGAAGCCAAAAAGGUAGCAAUUGAUGCCAUGUAUCUUCAGGGUGAUGCUAAACUCUAGUGGCGGGUGAAAUACGAAGCCAUCAGGUCCGGUGAAAAUACUCUCAAGACAUGGGCAGAACUGAAGGCAGCCAUAUGCCUGCAGUUCUUCCCCGAAAAUGUGGAAUACAAUGCACGGAGAAAGCUGCAGGAACUCCGCCAGACCAGGUCAGUACGGGAUUACGUGCGGGAAUUCUUCGCGCUUAUGCUAAACAUACGGGAUAUGGGGGACAAAGACAAACUCUUCAUAUUCAUAGAAUGUUUGAAACCUCAUGCUCGUAUGGAGCUGCAAAGACAAAGGGUAGAUACCCUGCCCAAGGCGAUUCAAGCUGCAGAAUGCCUUGGGGAUUGUCAGAUGGAAACUCAGAAGGAUAGGCCUCAACCGCCUAUCCAAGGGGGAUACAAUGGGAGCCAACCUAGCAAUGGUGGCCCUAGCAGAAAUGGAGGAGAUCAAAGUGCAACAAAAUCUAAGACUUCUUCCUCAAGCAGCAACAGUGCUGCAUUCGUCAACAACAAUCAGGGGAGAAAACCCCCUUCAGAAUGUCGUCAUUGUGGUGGGCAACAUUGGAAUAAUGAAUACCCACAUGCACAGAUCAACGUUCAUCAGACUGUUGAUGAUGGGUCAGAUGAUGACCUAGACGACACAGAGCAAGUAGGUGCCUUCAAUGCAAUUGUUGACUCCAUCCCUAAUACCCCAGCGGGAACCAGUGUUGGUAACCCUAAGAAGGACGCAUGCCCAAUCGCCAAGAAAGGGAAAAAGAAGGGGGAUGAGAGGCCUCCUACCACAUAAGAGAGUACCUUAAUGUUCGUCGAAAUAAAAGUAAACGGCAGACCAAUUCGGGCAAUGAUAGACACGGGUGCUACCCCCAACUACUUGGCCUCGACUCAAGUGGAGAGCCUCAAUCUAGUUGUGCAAAAGAGUAGGGGUCGUGUCAAGGCUAUCAACUCACCACCCCAGCCAGUGAGUGGAAUAGCCAAACAAGUGCCAAUGAAGUUUGGCCCAUACAAAGAAAGAUUCAACCUAUGCGUAGCAUUCAUAAAUGACUUCGAACUGAUAUUGGGAUUGGAAUUCCUGAGGUAAACCAACACCAUACCGAUACCUUAUGUCGACAUGCUCCUGAUGAUGGGAGAAAACGGGGACAAACCCCGCAUUAUACCAUGUAUACCCAUAAAGAUGGCCGCUGAAAACAUCUCAGCCAGGCAGUCGAAGAAGGGAGUCAAAAGACAUGAACCUAUGGUUUCGGCUACCCUCAGUAACAAGAAUCAAAAAUCAUAUAAUCGGCCUCAAAUGAAUGAUGACACCCCUCGGUGUGUGCAGACUUGUCAAGCAGUCCACAAGGACAAGUCGGACAGCUCGGCACAAGCGGGACUCUUGGAUCCACUACCUGUCCCAAAGAGACCUUGGGAAAGCAUUUCCCUGAAUUUCAUCACAGGAUUUCCCAAGGUCGGAAAUCUUGCAACUAUCUUGUUUGUAGUAGACCAGACUUCCAAGUAUGCCACCUUCAUAGCAGCCCCACAGAACAUAUUAGCAGAAAAUACAACUUGACUCUUCUUCUCUCAUAUUGUCAAAUAUUGGGGCCUGCCAAAGAUAAUGCUAGUGACCGCGACUUACGCUUCACUAGCAACUUUUGGACCCAUCUCUUUAGGUGCCUCGGGACAAAAUUGAGUCACAACUCAAGCUUUCAUCAACAACAAUCAAAUGGCUAGACAGAACAGUUCAAUGACAUGCUGGAGGAAUAUCUCCGCCACUUUACAACCGGAUCACAGAAGAAUUGGGUGAAGCUUUUGGAUGUUGCUUAACUAUGUUUCAAUUCACAAAAGAGAUCUAGUACAAACAAAACCACUUUUGAAAUUGUUACCAGAUAGCAACCGCUACUCCCACAAACUGUGAAUGCACCAAACAUGCCAAAAUCGCCUCGAGCUGCCAGCUUUUCAAAGGAAUGGGAGCGAAAUUUGGAGAUAGUGCAGAGCUAUCUUCUCAAAGCCCAAGAGAGGGCAAAGAGGUAUGCCGACCAAAACCUUCACUUUGUCCAAUAUCAAGCAGGAGACAAAGUGAUGGUAAGAAUCCCAAAGAGGUACUUGUUUGCAGAGAGAACCAAUGACCCUCGCCUAUUGCAAUAACACAUCGGACCAUUGUCCAUUAAAAGACGCAUUGGAAAAGCCACAUACCGGGUGAAUACCCCAGCAUGGUGAAUCAUCCACCCAGUCAUCCAUGUCAACCACCUCAAAUCAUUUCAGAAAGACAUGGAGCAUCAUUCACAAAGCCACCUCACAAGACCGAGGGGAACAAACCUCCAAGCCUACAAGAGCCUGAUCAAUUAUCACCUUGCAGGUAAGGCUCCAAGUACAUUGCCAACUUAGGUGGGGGAGAAUGUGAUGGGCUGCUUUCCAGCCAUGCCCCAUGACCCCUUGGACGCUCCCCAUGGCAUCCUGGCAAGCCUCCCAACACCCAGUUCUACGGUCAGCCCCGUGGUCUCGGCAGCGCCAAGUGACAAGCGCGCAUGUGCCUCUGUCGCCCCACCGAUAGCCCUCGCCAGCGCCCAUCGGCUAGCAAAUGCCAACAGUGCCGCGCGCACAGAUCCUAAUGCCUCGCCAACGCCCAACCGUAUGCAGAUUCCAACAGCGUCGCGCACAUAAACAAUGUCGUGUGCGCAAACCUUGAUGCCAAGUGCCAGUGCCAGCCGCAGGCAGAUGCAAACAGCACCGCGCGUGCCGACAGCAUUGCACGCGCAGACCCUGAUGCUAAAGAUAAAGUUGCCGCCAACGGACUUGUUUCUACCUUGUAGAAGACUAAGUCUUUUUCAUUAUAAAUAUAGAGUAGUUUUACUUCAUUUACUUUCAGUGUUCUUCUAAAGCUUAUAUAGGUCAAGUCAUCUAACUUUGGUUUAUUUUUGUUUAAGCAUUAUUAGGGGAGAUCAAGCAUUCAAACAUUCAAGCAAGCAAAUAUUUCUCUGUACUGGCGUCUCUCCCCCUCAACACUGCGUAGCAUUUUGUAAUAGCUUUCAUUCAUUAAUGCAAUCAGCUUUCAUUCUCAAUUGCUCAUGAUAUUGGUUUUUCUCGUACGACACUGACAAUCUCAUCUAGCGUACGGAGGGGACCUCAAUUGGCGGACAUCAACCACACUGAUAUCGGUUGCUUAGCUUUACGUCGCCCUUCCAAAGAAUCUCAGGAAGGCGCCGCGUAACAAUAAUAAUGAUGCCAGUAACUUCACAUCUGCACUCAAAACCAUCGCGUCCGUAAUACCACUUCUAUAAGCCCAUACUCGCAUUUGCGAGCUUCACUUCACUCACUAACCUUCGCUUCUGUGAUGAACAGUCUGCUUUUGCAGCGCCGCUGAUGCGCCCAAAUGCUCACAGGAGUGAAUGCGCUUCUGCGCAACUUUGUCCGCACAUGCAGACUCCCAAGCCCAGGACAAACUCCGCUUUUGUGCCCUCAACUCUGCUUCUAUGCCUGCGCAGAUGCGCUACAUGAGUCGCUUAUACAACCUCGCACCUGUGCAAUAUGCACAACAGGUGCAAUACACAAUAACCAACUGACCCAUAUAAUCACCAAAAUGGUCUGGAAUCAAUCCGAAACACCCCCUAACCCCCAUCCAAUGAAACCAACAAGUCCAAAUACCUUACUCAAACUUAUUCCAAGGCUUCAACCAUAAAAAACAAUGACAAAAUCAAGAAUCAAAGAUCAAAAUCCUUAUCAAAACUUUUAAAUAUUCCAACUUCACCGAACGCAUCCGAAUAUCACUUAGACAUUCCGGAACACGACCAAACUUUACACACAAGUCCCAAUCAACCAAAUUAACCUAUCCAAAGUCCCAAAACAUUAAUCAGGAUAUGAUAAUACCAAAGUCAACUUCCGGUCAAACCUAUAACUCUCCAAUCCUUCAAAUUGCCAACUUUGGCAAAUAGAGUCAAAACCUUCUAGUAACCUCCAAAUUCGAACAUACGCCCAAGUCCAAAACUACCAUAUGAACCUAUUGCAAUCAUAAAAUUUCGAUUCCGAGGUUGUCUACUCAAAAGUCAAAUCUUGAUAAACUUUUCCAACUUAAAGCUUCCAAAUUGAGAAUCACUCUUUUAAAUCAAUCUCGAACCUCUCGAAAGUCAAAACCAACCACACACGCGAGUCAUAAUGCAUUAUAUGAAGCUACUCAAGGCCUUAAACCCCUGAACAAAAUGCUAGAGCUCAAAAAGAUCGAUCGGGUCAGUAUACCAAUACCCUAAGUAAUUUUGAAGUUCUUAAUAACAUAUGCUAAACCUUCACACAACAUAUACUUGUAUUUGUUUACUUGGUUCAUUCUAAUUAUAACAUGCACCAAGUUAUAAGAAAAUCAGUAAGUGUUUUCAAGAUUAAAACUACAAAAUGCAUAUAAAAAUGAAUAAGAAAUAUGUAUUACCUCUUUAUCUACAAAGAUUAUGUCUGAACAAAUCAACUCUUUAUUUCUCUUGAGAUUAGUAGAAUUUCACAUCCUACAAAAAGAACAUUGAAAAAAAAAAGAACACGCCGAAUUUUAUAAAAAAUUUAGUAUAGGAAAAUAGCAUAUUAGUUUUAAAAAAAUGUCAAAAGUUACUUAAAGACAAUGAAGACAUCAUGUAUUUGCAAGGAUGCCAUGACAGACUUAUUNCAAGCAUNNNNNNNNNNNNNNNNNAAACGAUAUAUAUAUAUAUAUAUAUAUAUAUAUAUAUAUGGAUUGUUGUGGGUUAAAGAGUUUUUCCAAAUAAAGUGACAAGUUUUUGAUAGGGAUUAUUUUAUUUACAGAGUCGCCACUUGGAAUUGAGUUUUUGGGUGUUCCAAGUCACCUUUUAUUUGAAUCCCUAUUCAAAUAAAGAUUUGACUCUUUUAUUAUUGGUUUGCAAAAACAAAGUUCAGGUAAGGAAUUCUGUUGACCGGGGAGAAGGUGUAAGGUAUUUUCCGAGUCCCGUAGUUCUAGCACGGUCGCUUUAUUGACUACAACUUAGCUUGAAUUAAUUUUGGACGAACUGUGAUUUAUUGGCUUUCAAAUUUUAUCUAUCCGCUUUUAUUGCUUGAUUAUUCGUAAUUAUGGAAUUAUCUUGAAAUAAAAUGAUACAUAUGUGUAUUCAUUUUGUUUGGUAUGUCAAAGUCAUGCCACGCAUACAUGUACACAAUUAAUAACAUUUAUUAUUUAUUAGAUUAUUUUAUCAAAAUCACGCGAACACGUAACUUGAUUUAUUUUUGGGACCAUAAUUAUGUCACGCGAACUUAUACAUAAUCACAAUGGUAGAUUUGUUACGAGCGUGUCUAAAGGCAUAGUAGUGAUUUUUGUAGUAAUUCGGCGUUCUUGGUUAUUGAGGAAACAUGCCAGCGUUCAACUAAAGCCUAAGGAGCAAUACAACUUAUUUCAAACCCAAACCUACUCCUAUCCCAAGCUUACAUUAGAUUUUCUAAUACCAGUGGCCUAUUCGUUCGGCCCAAAUCCUUUACCAACUAAUCUACUCAUCUUCUAUGUUGUUUUUCUUUUUUCUUUUUGGUUUAGAUCUAAUAAAUAAACAAUAUUACUAUUACUACACAUAACAUAAGAUUCAUAAAACUAAACAAUAUAAAACUAUUGAACAGAUUCAUGAUUUUAAACACACUUGCCACUACAUAAAAAAACAAGAAUAUCACCUAAAUUAAAAUCAUAAUGCAAAUAAAAUUUCAGUAAGUAUCAUUGAACUAGGAAGCAGAAAUGUUAAAAGAGAAAAACAAAUAACCUUGUAUUAGAUGAAGACUCCAAUUUGACGUACAUUAAGCAAGAAUUUGUCCAAAAGCAAAAGAAAGAAAACAGUAUAUGGACCGAAAAAUUUCUCCGAAAAUCCUCAAUGAACUCAAACAGGAAACCUCGCCAAUGACGGAAAUCUUGAACGCCCAGAAAAUGCCACUGUUUUAGGUGAAAAGAGGCUGUUUUAAUGGCUGAUUUUUGGUCCCUCUUGUGGUUGUUCGGCAGCAACGAUGCAACUAUUUUUUGGUGGUUUUAGGUUAUUUUAAUGGAGUUUUACAUGAUUUUAGGAUUGUUUUUCAGAUCUCCUUUUGGCUGGCAUCUUGGUAGUAUUUAUUGGAAGAGAUGAGGUGAGGAAGAUGAGUGUAUGAUUAGGAAGAAAAGAGGAAAAUAUCUCCCCUUUUUUCGUGUGUCCCCCUUUUUCCUUCUCCCUAUCCUAUGUGAGAUGAGUCUCUUU
rnacentral:lncRNA from 1 species